UGAACUGAAGAGUUUGAUCCUGGCUCAGAUUGAACGCUGGCGGCAUGCUUUACACAUGCAAGUCGAACGGCAGCACGGGGGUAACCCUGGUGGCGAGUGGCGAACGGGUGAGUAAUGCAUCGGAACGUAUCCUGUUGUGGGGGACAACCUACCGAAAGGUGGGCUGAUACCGCAUGAGACCUGAGGGUGAAAGCGGGGGACUGGAGACGGCCUCGCGCGAUGGGAGCGGCUGAUGUCCGAUUAGCUAGUUGGUGGGGUAAAGGCCUACCAAGGCUGCGAUCGGUAGCGGGUCUGAGAGGAUGAUCCGCCACACUGGGACUGAGACACGGCCCAGACUCCUACGGGAGGCAGCA
rnacentral:rRNA from 1 species